CGGUAUUACUGGGAUUCACUAAAGUGAAAGAUCUCCCGUACGUGGGAAUACCAAGAAUAAUCUUGUCAGUGGAUGCACCUUGCGAGAGCCAGUAAUGGACAGCCGCAUCCUGGAAUGGUAUUGCAUCUCGUAUCAAGACUAAUCAAGGGAGGUAUAAGGUAUUCCUACCACGUUCAGCUUGGCUUGAUCCCCAGUGUCUCUUGCAGAAGGAUACAACGGUGCAUUCAUUCCCGUGAAUCUAUUCCAUGAUCCGUUGAAGUCGUACGCCAUCAAGUUAAUAAAGUGAACGUAUUUCGAUAUUUGUGAAAUAUGAUACGAUUUAGAAGCCGACCCCUCGGCAGCGGCAACUGCGAUACUCAGAAUGAAGCCAUGUUUAUCAAACUCUUCUCUCAGUUCUUUCAACAAAGCAACGUAAUUUUCCUUGUCAGACGGUUUACCGCCGCGUUGGUUUGGAUAUUCCCAAUCGACGUCGAAACCAUCAAAGUUAUAUUUCUUCAGAAAGGCGACUACGUUCUUGACAAAUGUAGCACGCGUAGCAGGGUUACCAGCGACCUGAGAGUACUUGACGGAUCCUUCGUUCCAGCCACCUAUCGCAACCAUAGCCUUGGUGCCUGGACUUGACUCACGGAGUCUGGUAAAUUUCCCAAAACCAUCCUUGCCAUUAGGUAAAUCCAUCCAACUGUCUAACACAUUGACAUUACCAUCGGUAAUGAUACCGACAAAGGUGUAGACCAUGUGGGUGCAUAGCAUUGGAUCGAUAUCAUUCACCUCGAAUUUUCCCCUGCCAGGACGGUACGCGGCCCAGCUACCGAAAUAGCAGACAAUCUUUUCUAUUAGAAGAAGAAAUAUAUGUUAUCAUAAAUCUAUCUAUCCUUAUAAUCGACGAAUAAUCGAAUAUCAUAUAAAAAUCAAGAGUUACGAGAUUGACCUUCAUUAUAGAUAACGAUACAACUUUCAGAUUAAGGACAGGAGAUUACAUUUAGUUCAUUAUAUAGUUUUAUCAGUAAUAAUCUGAUACUUACUGUCGGCAAUGACGCAUGGGCCGGCAAACACCAGAAAAGCAACCAAAAACGCUGACUUAAUCAUCUGAAAACAGAUCACUUUUUAACCCAAGCAAAUUUUGUCAUCAGUAUUGAAGCAAACUGAAGAUUUAUUUAAAUUUGUUCUUUUUUAUAAUUAUGAAGCUUCUCACCGUACCUUCAACGACAUCCGUUUUAUAUAAUAUGCGAAAGUGAUCAUUCAGUUGAAUUUAUAUUCAACAUGAGAUUUACAAAACAUCCUGUUUUAAGUUAAUCUAAUCAGAAAUAUACAGGAGGGGCUUUGCUUGGUGCAUGCCAGAAUCUUGAAAAACCGUACCGUAGUUUAUGAGUCAUGAAUCGUAAAUGUACAACAUAAAACUAAAUCAAGAUAAUAGAGUACUUAACAUAAAAGUUUGUUAAACGCAAAAUAGCAAAAACUAUUUAUAGUAUAUUCUAUGGAAAACAAACAGUGUUAUCAUUUAAAUAAUCUAAAUUUCUAUUAAUAAUAAACUAUCGUUGAAUAUUAUUGAAGAUAAUGAAGUCAAUCGUGAAUUUGAUCUCAUUACCUGUGUC